rnacentral:misc_RNA from 1 species
GAUGAAGAACGUAGCGAAAUGCGAUAAGUAAUGUGAAUUGCAGAAUUCAGUGAAUCAUCGAAUCUUUGAACGCACAUUGCGCCCGCCAGUAUUCUGGCGGGCAUGCCUGUUCGAGCGUCAUUACAACCCUCAGGCCCCCGGGCCUGGCGUUGGGGAUCGGCGGAGCCCCCCGUGGGCACACGCCGUCCCCCAAAUGCAGUGGCGGUCCCGCCGCAGCUUCCAUCGCGUAGUAGCUAACACCUCGCGACUGGAGAGCGGCGCGGCCACGCCGUAAAACACCCAACUCUUCUGAAGUUGACAUCGAAUCAGGUAGGAAUACCCGCUGAACUUAAGCAUAUCAAUAAGCGGAGGA